CAUCAUCCAUGUCUUGCCCACACAAUCAACCUGAUUGUAAGAGAUGCUCUGAAGGUGACGGACAAAGUGUGGACAAAGUGAAAGCAUCUGUGGAAUAAUUCCACUGGAGCACAGUAGGUACUGAAAAACUCAAUUUUACACAAAGCCAGAUGGGAUUGCCUGAGCUGAGGCCUAAACAAGACUGCACAACAAGGUGGAAUUCAACAUUUUAUAUGUUGAAGCGGUUUCUUGAGUCAAAGGAUGCCAUCAUCUCUACCCUGGUCAUUGUCAGGGUAGAGAUGUGCACCUGUUGAUGCUCUGACCCAAGAGGAAUGGGAGGUGGUGGAGGCAGUGUGCACAGUCCUGGAACCCUUUGGCAGGUCACUGUGGAGAUCAGUGGAGAGAGCUAUGUGACAGCCUGAAAAAUGAUACUCCUGUGUAAGGGUCUGCAGCGAAUCACAGCCAGCCGCUAGAGAGAAACCACAGGACAUGUGACAGUGUUGAUGGACACCCUACGUUCAUCAAUGGACAGAAAGUUCCACAGAAUGGAAUAUAAUCACGUGCUAUCAGAAACCACUGCACUUCAUCCCAGGUUUAAGAAGUUAGCUUUCAGUGAUGCCAGAACGAUUGAUGAGGUUCUUCAAAGAAUAACCUCAGCAGCAGGGAGGGACAGCCCCAGCAAUCAGCUGGCUCAGGCAUCAGGGCAACAGGAAUAAGAGGGAUCAGAUGGAGCAGAAGCACCAGCAGUAGUACCACAAACGUCUGCUGUUUGGAUGUUGUUUGACGAAAGAGCAACUGGGGAUGCAGCACAAAGGAAUCCCUCAGCAGAUGCCAUUUUAUUAAUUUUUAUUUCACCUUUAUUUAACCAGGUAGGCCAGUUGAGAACAAGUUCUCAUUUACAACUGCGACCUGGCCAAGAUAAAGCAAAGCAGUGCGACAAAAACAACAACACAGAGUUACACAUAAACAAACGUACAGUCAAUAACACAAUAGAAAAAUCUAUGUACAGAGUGUGCAAAUGUAGA
ensembl:lncRNA